rnacentral:tRNA from 2 species
GGAGGAUUCGCCUAGUGGCCUAGGGCGCACGCUUGGAAAGCGUGUUGGGAUAAAACCCUCACGAGUUCGAAUCUCGUAUCCUCCGCCG